UUAAAUUAUUUUAUUUAAGUACUUAAAUUGGAUUUUAUUAGAAAAAAAUAUAUAAGUUUGGCGAGAUUAAAUAUUAAUAUUUAAAUGAUAUUUUUUUAACUCUUAGUUUUUAAUUUUAUUUUUUUAUAAAUAUAAAUUAUAUUUAUAAUAAAUAUUCGUAACUAAAAAUUGUGCCAGCAGUUGCGGUUAUACAAUUAUGAAGAUUCAAUUUUUUUGGUUUAUAUUAAAAUUUAUAUUUAAAGGUAAAUAUUCAUCUUAUUUAGUGGAAUAUUUAAUUUGAUUUUUUCCUUAUAAUUUAAAUAUGAAAAUAUGUUUUAAACUAGGAUUAGAUACCCUAUUAUUAUAAUUGUAAAUGUUCAAGACCUAAGUAUUAAAAGUUAUGUUCUCUAAAUUUAAAGAAUUUGGCGGUAAUUUAUCUUUUCAGAGGAGCCUGUCCUUUAAUUUGAUAAUCCACAAUAGGUUAUACCUUAUUUUAACUUAUAUACCUCUAUCAUUGAAUGUUUUAAGAAUUUUUAUUUUCUCCAUUUUUUUAAAAAAAAAUGUUAGGUCAAGGUUUAGUAAUAAUAAGGGAGAGAUGGGCUACAAUAAUAUUAUAUAAGGAUACCUAUAUUAAAUAAUGGGUUAAAUGUGGAUUUGAUAGUAAAUUUAUUUAAUUAAAUAAAUUGAUUUAUGCUCUAAAUUAUGCACACAUCGCCCGUCGCUCUCAUCAAGUGAGAUAAGUCGUAACAAAGUAGAUUCAUUGGAAAAUGAAUCUGGAAUGU
rnacentral:ncRNA from 1 species